rnacentral:rRNA from 1 species
ACGGAGGGUGCGAGCGUUGUUCGGAAUUAUUGGGCGUAAAGGGCGCGUAGGCGGUGCGGUAAGUCACCUGUGAAAUCUCCUGGCUCAACUGGGAGCUUGCAGGCGAAACUGCCGUGCUGGAGUGUGGUAGAGGCGAGCGGAAUUCCUGGUGUAGCGGGGGAAUGCGUAGAUAUCAGGAAGAAAACCGGUGGCGAAGGCGGCUCGCUGGGCAAGGGCUGACACUCAUCAGCGAAAGCGUGGGGAGCAAACAGGA